rnacentral:rRNA from 1 species
AUGAACGCUAGCGGCAGGCCUAAUACAUGCAAGUCGAAGGGGCAGCAAUGUCACUGGCGCACGGGUGCGUAACACGUUUGGAAUCUGCCUCUGAUUGGGGGAUAGCCCGCCGAAAGGCGGAUUAAUACCGCAUAUGCUCGUGGGUUGGCAUCGACCAGCGAGGAAAGGCCGCGAGGCCGAUGAGAGAUGACCAUGCGUCUGAUUAGCUAGUUGGCGGGGUAAAGGCCCACCAAGGCGACGAUCAGUAGGGGACCUGAGAGGGCGAUCCCCCACACGGACACUGAGAUACGGGUCCGACUCCUACGGGAGGCAGCAGUAGGGAAUAUUGGGCAAUGGGCGCAAGCCUGACCCAGCCAUGCCGCGUGCCGGAAGAAGGCCCUCUGGGUUGUAAACGGCUUUUGACGGGGAAGAAACGACUCUUGCGAGAGGCACUGACGGUACCCGCAGAAUAAGCACCGGCUAACUCCGU